ACUCGCAGCCGAUGGCGGAUAAAUUCAUCGACCUCGGCGUCGACGGGCUGAUGUCAUGCACGGAGAGCCUGGGAUUCGAGAGUUGCGGGGAUAACGGCGAUUUCUGUUCGACGGCGUUGGUGCGGAGCACCGCUGCCGGAGACGGAGAUCUGAGGUGGAGGGAUCGGAUCCGGGAGCGGCGGAGGAGGAGGGAGGCCGGGAAGGUGAAGAAGUUUCCUCCGCCGAUCUCGUCGCUGAACAAGAACGGCCAGCCGAAUUUCUUUCUCCG
rnacentral:lncRNA from 1 species